AGCGAACGCUGGCGGCAGGCCUAACACAUGCAAGUCGAACGAACCUUUCGGGGUUAGUGGCGGACGGGUGAGUAACACGUGGGAACGUGCCUUUAGGUUCGGAAUAACUCAGGGAAACUUGUGCUAAUUCCGAAUGUGCCCUUCGGGGGAAAGAUUAAUCGCCUUUAGAGCGGCCCGCGUCUGAUUAGCUAGUUGGUUGAGGUAAUGGCUCACCAAGGCGACGAUCAGUAGCUGGUCUGAGAGGAUGAUCAGCCACAUUGGGACUGAGACACGGCCCAAACUCCUACGGGAGGCAGCAGUGGGGAAUCUUGCGCAAUGGGCGAAAGCCUGACGCAGCCAUGCCGCGUGAAUGAUGAAGGUCUUAGGAUUGUAAAAUUCUUUCACCGGGGACGAUAAUGACGGUACCCGGAGAAGAAGCCCCGGCUAACUUCGUG
rnacentral:rRNA from 1 species